UACGGGGGAGCAAGCGUUGUUCGGAUUUACUGGGCGUAAAGGGCGCGUAGGCGGUCAGCACAAGUCAGUUGUGAAAUCUCCGGGCUUAACUCGGAAAGGUCAACUGAUACUGUGCGACUAGAGUGCAGAAGGGGCAACUGGAAUUCUCGGUGUAGCGGUGAAAUGCGUAGAUAUCGAGAGGAACACCUGCGGCGAAGGCGGGUGCUGGGCUGACACUGACGCUGAUGCGCGA
rnacentral:rRNA from 1 species